rnacentral:miRNA from 1 species
UUUUACUUUCACUGGUUGGGGGG